rnacentral:rRNA from 1 species
GAUGAACACUAGCUACAGGCUUAACACAUGCAAGUCGAGGGGCAGCACAGUGUAGCAAUACACGGGUGGCGACCGGCGCACGGGUGCGUAACGCGUAUCCAACCUUCCCGAUACUCUUGGAUAGCCUUCCGAAAGGGAGAUUAAUACAAGAUGGUGUUUCACUUUCGCAUGUUAUUGAAACUAAAGAUUUAUCGGUAUCGGAUGGGGAUGCGUGACAUUAGAUAGUAGGCGGGGUAACGGCCCACCUAGUCUACGAUGUCUAGGGGUUCUGAGAGGAAGGUCCCCCACACUGGAACUGAGACACGGUCCAGACUCCUACGGGAGGCAGCAGUGAGGAAUAUUGGUCAAUGGUCGGAAGACUGAACCAGCCAAGUAGCGUGAAGGAUGAAGGUUCUAUGGAUUGUAAACUUCUUUUAUACGGGAAUAAAACACCUUACGUGUAGGGUCUUGUAUGUACCGUAUGAAUAAGCAUCGGCUAACUCCGUGCCAGCCGCCGCAGUAAUAC